UGCAUUUAACUGUCGUAAUUAGUUAGACAAAUCCAACCACUAGGGGCAGUGGAACUAUGGGUAAUGUAGGCAGACUCAACCUUGCAGCUCUUGAUGAUGACGACACCAGAGUUCUUGUAGCUCUUCUUCUUCUUCUUUUUGUCCGGGUGGACACACUCAAACUCCACCUCCGCUUUCUGCAGCUCUGAGACCUUUGUGGUGAAAGAGCCGAUCAGAUCAUGACUUCCAUCACUGUCGUAAUCAGAACAAUCCACCUGCA